rnacentral:rRNA from 1 species
GACGAACGCUGGCGGCGUGCUUAACACAUGCAAGUCGAACGGAAAGGCCCCUUUGGGGGUACUCGAGUGGCGAACGGGUGCGUAACACGUGAGUAACCUGCCCUUGACUUCGGGAUAACUUCAGGAAACUGGGGCUAAUACCGGAUAGGAAUCCUUGCUGCAUGGUGGGGGUUGGAAAGCUUCGGCGGUUUUGGAUGGACUCGCGGCUUAUCAGCUUGUUGGUGGGGUAGUGGCUUACCAAGGCUUUGACGGGUAGCCGGCCUGAGAGGGCGACCGGCCACAUUGGGACUGAGAUACGGCCCAGACUCCUACGGGAGGCAGCAGGGGGGAAUAUUGCACAAUGGGCGGAAGCCUGAUGCAGCAACGCCGCGGGCGGGAUGACGGCCUUCGGGUUGUAAACCGCUUUCAGCAGGGGCGAAGCUUGUGGUGACGGUACCUGCAGAAGAAGCACCGGCUAACUACGUG